rnacentral:rRNA from 1 species
AUUGAACGCUAGCGGGAUGCCUUACACAUGCAAGUCGAACGGAGUGGCGAACGGGUGAGUAAUGUAUCGGAACGUGCCCAGUAGCGGGGGAUAACUACGCGAAAGCGUAGCUAAUACCGCAUACGAUAGGAGCGGCCGAUAGCGGAUUAGCUGGUUGGUGGGGUAACGGCUCACCAAGGUGACGAUCCGUCGCAGGUUUGAGAGGACGACCAGCCACACUGGGACUGAGCAGCGGCCCAGACUCCUACGGACGGCAGCAGUGGGGAAUUUUGGGCAAUGGGGGAAACCCUGACCCAGCCAUCCCGCGUGUGCGAUGAAGGCCUUCGGGUUGUAAAGCACUUUUGGCAGGAAAGCGGUACCUGCAGAGUAAGCACCGGCUAACGACGUGCCAGCCGCCGCGGUAAUUC